GAGGAAUAUUGGACAAUGGAGGCAACUCUGAUCCAGCCAUGCCGCGUGCAGGAAGACUGCCCUAUGGGUUGUAAACUGCUUUUAUAUAGGAAAAAACCUUCUCACG
rnacentral:rRNA from 1 species